GAUGAAGAACGUAGCGAAAUGCGAUAAGUAAUGUGAAUUGCAGAAUUCAGUGAAUCAUCGAAUCUUUGAACGCACAUUGCGCCCCGUGGUAUUCCGAGGGGCAUGCCUGUUCGAGCGUCAUUAUAACCCCUCAAGCUCAGCUUGGUGUUGGGGCCUGCUGCACUGGCAGCCCUUAAAAUCAGUGGCGGCGCCAUCUGGCUCUAAGCGUAGUAAUUCUUCUCGCUAUGGAGUCCUGGUGGAUGCUUGCCAUCAACCCCCAAUUUUUCUAUGGUUGACCUCGGAUCAGGUAGGGAUACCCGCUGAACUUAAGCAUAUCAAUAAGCGGAGGA
rnacentral:misc_RNA from 1 species